GACGAACGCUGGCGGCGUGCUUAACACAUGCAAGUCGAACGGAAAGGCCCUGCUUUUGUGGGGCGCUCGAGUGGCGAACGGGUGAGUAUCACGUGAGUAACCUGCCCUUGACUUUGGGAUAACUUCAGGAAACUGGGGCUAAUACCGGAUAGGAGCUCCUGCUGCAUGGUGGGGGUUGGAAAGUUUCGGCGGUUGGGGAUGGACUCGCGGCUUAUCAGCUUGUUGGUGGGGUAGUGGCUUACCAAGGCUUUGACGGGUAGCCGGCCUGAGAGGGUGACCGGCCACAUUGGGAAUGAGAUACGGCCCAGACUCCUACGGGAGGCAGCGGUGGGGAAUAGUGCACAAUGGGCGGAAGCCUGAUGCAGCAACGCCGCGUGCGGGAUGACGGCCUUCGGGUUGUAAACCGCUUUAGCCUGUGACGAAGCGUGAGUGACGGUAAUGGGUAAAGAAGCACCGGCUAAAUACGUG
rnacentral:rRNA from 1 species